CACGUAGGGGGGCAAGCGUUGUCCGGAUUUAUUGGGCGUAAAGAGCUCGUAGGCGGCUUAGUAAGUCGGGUGUGAAACCUCCAGGCUCAACCUGGAGACGCCACCCGAUACUGCUGUGGCUAGAGUCCGGUAGGGGAGCGUGGAAUUCCUGGUGUAGCGGUGAAAUGCGCAGAUAUCAGGAGGAACACCAGCGGCGAAGGCGGCGCUCUGGGCCGGUACUGACGCUGAGGAGCGAAAGCGUGGGUAGCAAACGGG
rnacentral:rRNA from 1 species